ACUUAGCCAUCUCUCCAGCCUUGCAUGAGGAGCAAGCACACUGCUGUCUGACGCAGAGGCAGCAUGAAGCCAGUGAGAAGCUGUGUGAACUCAGAUGGCCUGGACACAUCGCUAUCUGUCUGGCCCCUGGAUUGUAAAAUGAAGUAAUACCAUCUGUUUCCAAGAGUUAUGAAAUUAAAUUCUAUUUGUAUAAAAGCACCAAGUGCUGGCCGUCGCUGUCUCUACCAAUGGCAGCUUCUUUCCUCACUUCAGGGGACUCUGCAUGAGAGCGCUUGCCACAUGUCCCUGAGCCUCUGAAGACACAUUGGUGCUGAAGCUGGGUAGGUUUUCUGACAAGCCUUUGAAGGAACCAGGACACCAGUGCCUCCAGCUCACCGCUCUGAUCCUUGAGGUAAUCUAUCACUGUGAUACUGCCCAUGGAUCUGAGGCUAUAGCCUACACUGUGGCCACACAGGCUGCAGGAUACACACAAGGCUCUAGCACUUGCUUAAGCUUGCUUGUCCCCACGGAUGAUAUCCAAAAUUACUGCGGAGGUGUCAACAAAUUCUGGAAACCUUGGCUGUGUCAACGUCAUUUGACAGUGGUGGGAACACACAAGAGGGCAGGGGGAUCUCUGACCUUGAGGGAACCUGGGAGCCUGGGACAGUAGUUACUUAAAUUUAUCAGCGAGAAUGAGUAUAUUUCUCUAUUUAAUAAUGGAUAUGUUGGAGCAGGCGUACAAUUGCACAUAGACCUUCUUCAACCCAAUAUAAUCUAUUUCUUCAUUCAUUUAGUCCACCAAUGCUUGAAUUUUAAAGCAGACUCUUUAUCCAAAGUGUUAGGCUAGAGGGUUUAAGGUAGAGUUAGAAAGAUAGCCCAAAGCGCUCAUGGUCUAAGAAAGGAUCCAAGAUACAUAAGACGAUUUAGCAGGAAGAACACAUGUGAAGUGUCCUAAGAAAAGGACACUCAGGAGAUGUGGC
rnacentral:sRNA from 1 species